rnacentral:rRNA from 1 species
AGCUGAUCAGCAUGCCGCGUGUGUGAAGAAGGCCUUCGGGUUGUAAAGCACUUUUGUCCGGAAAGAAAUCCUUGGCUCUAAUACAGUCGGGGGAUGACGGUACCGGAAGAAUAAGCACCGGCUAACUACGUGCCAGCAGCCGCGGUAAUACGUAGGGUGCGAGCGUUAAUCGGAAUUACUGGGCGUAAAGCGUGCGCAGGCGGUUUGCUAAGACCGAUGUGAAAUCCCCGGGCUCAACCUGGGAACUGCAUUGGUGACUGGCAGGCUAGAGUAUGGCAGAGGGGGGUAGAAUUCCACGUGUAGCAGUGAAAUGCGUAGAGAUGUGGAGGAAUACCGAUGGCGAAGGCAGCCCCCUGGGCCAAUACUGACGCUCAUGCACGAAAGCGUGGGGAGCAAACAGGAUUAGAUACCCCGGUAGUC